rnacentral:rRNA from 1 species
CACGUAGGGGGCGAGCGUUGUCCGGAUUUAUUGGGCGUAAAGAGCUCGUAGGCGGUUUCGUUAGUCGGGGGUGAAAACUUCAGGCUCAACCUGGAGACGCCACCCGAUACUGCGAUGACUAGAGUCCGGUAGGGGAGUGUGGAAUUCCUGGUGUAGCGGUGAAAUGCGCAGAUAUCAGGAGGAACACCAACGGCGAAGGCAGCACUCUGGGCCGGAACUGACGCUGAGGAGCGAAAGCGUGGGUAGCGAACAGG